UACAGAGGGUGCGAGCGUUAAUCGGAAUUACUGGGCGUAAAGCGCGCGUAGGCGGUCUUGUAAGUCGGGUGUGAAAGCCCCGGGCUCAACCUGGGAACUGCAUUCGAGACUGCGGGACUGGAGUAUUGGAGAGGGCAGCGGAAUUUCCGGUGUAGCGGUGAAAUGCGUAGAUAUCAGGAGGAACACCGGUGGUGCAAACGGCUUUCUGGACCGUAACUGACGCUGAGACACGAAAGCGUGGGGAGCAAACAGG
rnacentral:rRNA from 1 species